CGGGGGGGGCAAGCGUUGUUCGGAAUUACUGGGCGUAAAGGGUGCGUAGGCGGCUCUCUAAGUCGGAUGUGAAAACUCUGGGCUCAACCCCGAGCCUGCAUCCGAAACUGGAGGGCUAGGGUUCUGGAGGGGAAAGCGGAAUUCCUGGUGUAGCGGUGAAAUGCGUAGAUAUCAGGAGGAACACCGGUGGCGAAGGCGGCUUUCUGGACAGAUACCGACGCUGAGGCACGAAAGCUAGGGGAGCAAACAGGAUUAGAUACCCUGGUAGUCCUAGCCCUAAACUAUGGAUACUUGCUGUGGGGGGGAUUGAAGCCCCUUGUGGCGAAGCUAACGCAUUAAGUAUCCCGCCUGGGGAGUACGGUCGCAAGGCUG
rnacentral:rRNA from 1 species